CCCUCCCCUAAAUCACUCCAAAAAAAACAAUCCCCAAUUCUACACAAGUGUUUCUACACUAACAAAGCAACAGCUCCUUAACGAAUUCCCAACUUUACACGAGCUCGUCUCUCGAGGUUAAAUGUUAUUACUUGGUAAGAUUCCGGACCUCGCCAAGUGUUUUGAAAACCCGCAACGCUCGCAAAGGUGCAUAGUGAGAAUAAUAAGUGAAGAGACAGACUUGUCCAAAACGCCCACCACGAAGGUGCAUAGUGAGAAGAGUAAGUCAAGAGAUAGACUUGUCCAAAAAGAAACGGAAGAGAAAGCUUGGGGAGACGCUCACGAAGGUGCAUAGUGAGAAGAGUAAGUCAAGAGAUAGACUUGUUCAAAAAGAAACAGAAGAGAAUGCUUGGGGUUACACUCACGAAGGUGCAUAGUGAGAAGAGUAAGUCAAGAGACAGACUUGUUCAAAAAGAAACAAAAGAGAAUGCUUGGGGAGAUAGAAGUGUGAGAUAGUUCUCAAGCUAAGAAAGUUGUAAAAGCUAAGAACUAGCAAGUAAUCGUCCAGGAUUCCUCCACCAGGACUUGAAAUCGUCGAGGGAAAAAAUCGGUUCCGAGGAAUCGUCGAUCCGGACUUGGAAUCGUCGAGAAAGUUUACCGGGUCCGAGGAUUUGUCGACCAGGAGUGGAAAUCGUCGAGAAAAAUCUAUCGGGUCCGAGGAAUCGUCGACCAGGACGAGGAAUCGUCGACAGGGUCCGAGGAUUUGUCGACCAGGGGUUGAAAUCGUCGACCAGGUCCGAGACUUCAUCGAC
rnacentral:misc_RNA from 1 species